GCUUGUUCUUCCCUGUGCACUCCGCAAAGAUGCAGCUGAAACCGAUGGAGAUUAACCCCGAGAUGCUGAACAAAGUGAGUGGCGUGGCGCGCAGUCUCUGUCCCUCUCCCACGGGAGCAUCGCUGGAGACGCCUAGCCGGCCGCGCCCUGUGCUGUGGAGGUGGCCGGGCUGGGGCGGCCAGAAGGGUGUCGCCUCUGCCCUGAGUUAUUUAGGGGUUUUGGGGUGACUGAGAAAGAUCAAUCUUGGGGAGGUGGCAGAGGAUUGACCCAGACGGGAGCGGGCGCCGGGAACACAUCUCGAGGGCGUGGCGACGGUCAGCGGACUCUAGUCCGAGGGCUUCGCGCGAGCCACGUGUGGGCUGAGCUUUGUGCUGUGUCACUGCGCGACACGGAGGGUGGGCCGCUGCGGAGGCUCCUCCCAGACUCGGGUGGGGGAACCCGUGUGUGUGUGUUUGGUGGGGGGUGGGGAGUGG
rnacentral:lncRNA from 1 species